UUUUAUACCCUCAAAACAUUCCACGGUGGAUAUUAACAUAGAUGGAAACAGAGUCUUCUUUUUUCUCAACCCAACUCUCGUCGAUUGUUACAGCGCCGUAACCUAGUUCGUUCACUUUUUUCCACCCAACCCCGUGAAACAAAGAUUCAGAAGCAUCGGUGGUUUGAGUGUCGAUUUCUACGGUGAAAGAUUCAGAAUCUAAUCAGCGGCGGCAUAAUUGGGGUAAAAACACAACAACGGAUCAAUUGAUUUCUACGGUGAAAGUUUUCAACGAUUAGACAACAUCGUAGCGCCGACGACAACAUUCGAGCGUAAUUGAUUUUCUACCGGUAGAUAAAAACACAACAACGGAUCAAUUGCUGGCGAUUGCAUCAAGGUUUCAAUUACUUAACCCAAUUAUAAACUAUCAAUUUGCAGAUUUGUGAUGUUAUUUAAUUGAUAAAAUUAUAAUUCAUGUAAUAGAAAACUUCCUAUAUGUCUACCUUGCGAAACUUCUAUGUUUUGAAAAUUGAUUUAUGUCCUUGUUCUGUCAAUUUGUAUUAUGUAUGUGCUUUUCUGAUUUCCGUUUUUUUGAUAUGUGAAUCGCAUUUAUGCUGCAAGUAUUUGAUCGAUCACUGGGCUGAACACAGAAUUAUUCGAGCAACCAUUGCCACUCCUACGGUAACUCAUUGCAGUCAUUGGCUCAUUGCCACUCCUACAAAAGAUUUUUAGGCCAUUUAAAGAAAAAGGUGAAAAAUCGAGCUCGAGUUGAAGGGUCCAUUGUAGAAGCAUACAUCAUCGAGGAAGUAUCAACAUUUUGCUCCUUAUAUUUUGAGUCUAGCGUGGAAACAAGAUUAACGCGACUUCCAAGAAAUGAUGAUGGUGGAGAGAUAGAUUCUAGUAGGCGGCUUUCCAUUUUCAGUCAUCCGGGGAGGCCUCUUGGAAGUCUGAAAGAUGGUCGGUCGUUUAUAAAUGAAGACGAAAUAAAUGCUGCACAUAGAUAUAUUCUAUUGAACUGUAUUGAAAUCCUUCCUUUUGUCGGGUGAGUAUUAAUUUCCGAAAACGACAAAGAUCAACAACACUAUGAUUCCACUGGUACCGACGAUAAGGAUUUCAGCCGUUAGGGAAAAGGUAAAGCAAAAGGUUAGAGCGAUGGGAUAUUGAUAAAACGACAAAUACUAUAGUGAAAUAAGAUGUGAGAAAAUCAAUACUUGUAAAGGAAAUAGUCACAUUAUGAUAUCGUUACGUACUUAUUGUGAUCUUGUGAGAGUUCUUUCGAUGUGAUUUCAUAUAUUUUUGACGUUUAUGAGUUGUUGGAUUGAUUGAGAUUUAAGCCCUUGCCGGGAUUUAUUGUGUUUUAUUAAAGUUAUGAAUGUUUAUGUA